rnacentral:lncRNA from 1 species
CAUUUCCUUCCUAAUGUGAUGAUAAUUAUGCAUGUCUGAGAAAAUGUUCAUUUUCCUGCCAUAUUUGAGAAGAUAACAGUGAUUGUAUUUUAUAGGUUUGUUUUGUGAGAAUUUCAAAAUACCCAUUUAUGAUUUUUUUUUUUUUUGAGUUUUGGUUUGAUGGUUUGCUUUGUGACAAUUUUAGUUGCUGUUAAUUUCAUGGUUUUGUUAUUUAUAAGCCUAAGAAAAUUAAGAACUUUCAUAUUUCAGAUAUAUGUUGCUUGAUUGAAGGUUUAUAAAGGAAGAUCAUGCCAAUAUAUAACAGAGGCAUAUUAGAUUUUUUAGUUACUUGAAAGUCUCCAUAAAUUAAGAACUCUUGCUUCAAUAGUUUAUGUGUGUCUCUUUGAUUUGAGUAAUGGAGAUUUUGGUUUUGCAUUUUAUUAUUAAAAUAAUGUUGAUGUUUUGGUUCACCAGUUCAUCCAUGAAUGACUUAUUUUAGACUGCAUUGUGGUUGUUUUUAUUGACUGUAUCUAUGUU